CGUAGGGGGCAAGCGUUGUCCGGAUUUAUUGGGCGUAAAGAGCGUGUAGGCGGCCAGACAGGUCCGUUGUGAAAACUAGAGGCUUAACCUCUAGACGUCGAUGGAAACCGUCUGGCUAGAGUCCGGAAGAGGAGAAUGGAAUUCCUGGUGUAGCGGUGAAAUGCGCAGAUAUCAGGAAGAACACCCGUGGCUAAGGCGGUUCUCUAGUACGGUACUGACGCUGAGACGCGAAAGCGUGGGGAGCGAACAGGAUUAGAUACCCUGGUAGUCCACGCCGUAAACGAUGGGUGCUAGGUGUGGGGGGUGUCGACUCCCCCCGUGCCGAAGCUAACGCAUUAAGCACCCCGCCUGGGGAGUACGGCCGCAAGGCUA
rnacentral:rRNA from 1 species